rnacentral:pre_miRNA from 1 species
AAGCGGGGAGACAUCGCGGCAGAAGAAAUCCUGAUCGUCAAGCGCGAAGAUGAGGUCGACCAUGUGACACAUUCUCACGUCAUCACAGACAUCAUAAUGAAUGAUUUUCAUGUUUAUAUUUAAAUUAGUUGUUAUAUGUUUGUCAUUUGAAUUUGACACUUAAUUUGUUCAAAUUUAUACUUACAUACAACAAAUUUAAACAGAGACAUGAAAAUCAUUCAUUAUGAUAUCCGUGAUGACGUGAGGAUAUGUCACAUGGUCGAUCCCAUCUUCGCGCCUGACGAUCAGAAUUUAUUCUGCUGCGAUGUCUCCCCGCUUCUACUUGCUCAA